rnacentral:tRNA from 1 species
UAUCUCAAUGGUAGAGCACAUGCUUUGCAUGCAUGAGGUCCUGGGUUCAAUCCCCAG